rnacentral:rRNA from 1 species
AGCGAACGCUGGCGGCAGGCUUUACACAUGCAAGUCGAACGCCCCGCAAGGGGAGUGGCAGACGGGUGAGUAACACGUGGGAACGUACCCUUUGGCUCGGAAUAACUUGGGGAAACUCAAGCUAAUACCGGAUAAGCCCUUAUGGGGAAAGGUUUACUGCCGAAGGAUCGGCCGCGUCUGAUUAGCUAGUUGGUGAGGUAAUGGCUCACCAAGGCGACGAUCAGUAGCUGGUCUGAGAGGAUGAUCAGCCACACUGGGACUGAGACACGGCCCAGACUCCUACGGGAGGCAGCAGUGGGGAAUAUUGGAAAAUGGGGGCAACCCUGAUCCAGCCAUGCCGCGUGAGUGAUGAAGGCCUUAGGGUUGUAAAGCUCUUUUACCCGGGACGAUAAUGACUGUACCGGGAGAAUAAGCCCCGGCUAACUUCGUGCCAGCCGCCGCGGUAA